rnacentral:lncRNA from 1 species
AGAAAAUCUGAUUACCAUAUCACUAAAAACAAGAAAAUUUACUAACACCUAAUUCCCCCCCCCCCCCUCUUAGGCGUACUUCUAUACUUACAAUUGGCAUCAGAGCAGGUUAAGGUAACUUAUUCCUCGAUCAAUUAUUCAUGGCUUCCGCACAACCUGUUUUUAGAGAUGGUGGUAGCAGUACCAAGCCACCAUGUUUUGUUGGAGAACACUAUGAUUUCUGGAAGAUACGCAUGCAGGC